rnacentral:rRNA from 1 species
AGAGUUUGAUCAUGGCUCAGGAUGAACGCUAGCGGCAGGCCUAAUACAUGCAAGACGAGCGGUAAACGUUUCAGCAAUGAGAUGUGAGAGCGUCGUAAGGGUGCGUAACACGUAUGCAAUCUGCCUGGAACUGGGGCAUAGCUCGCCGAAAGGCGGAUUAACUCCCCAUAAUAUCGUGGUGUGGCAUCACAAUACGAUUAAAUCAUUGAGGUUCCAGAUGAGCAUGCGGAUGAUUAGCUAGUUGGUAGUGUAACGGACUACCAAGGCGAUGAUCAAUAGGGGAACUGAGAGGUUGAUCCCCCACACUGGCACUGAGAUACGGGCCAGACUCCUACGGGAGGCAGCAGUAGGGAAUAUUGGACAAUGGGUGCAAGCCUGAUCCAGCCAUGCCGCGUGCAGGAAGAAGGCUUUCUGAGUUGUAAACUGCUUUUGCCAGGGGAUAAAAGACCGAUGCGUCGGGAAUUGAAGGUACCUGGUGAAUAAGCCACGGCUAACUACGUGCCAGCAGCCGCGGUAAUACGUAGGUGGCAAGCGUUGUCCGGAUUUAUUGGGUUUAAAGGGUGCGUAGGCGGUCUUUUAAGUCAGUGGUGAAAUACUUCAGCUUAACUGGAGAGGUGCCAUUGAUACUGGGAGACUUGAGUACUGAUGAGGUAGGCGGAAUGGACGGUGUAGCGGUGAAAUGCUUAGAUAUCGUCCAGAACACCGAUAGCGAAGGCAGCUUACUAAGGAGUAACUGACGCUGAGGCACGAAAGUGUGGGGAUCAAACAGGAUUAGAUACCCUAGUAGUCC